rnacentral:rRNA from 1 species
GACGAACGCUGGCGGCGUGCUUAACACAUGCAAGUCGAACGGUGACGAGGAGCUUGCUCCUCUGAUCAGUGGCGAACGGGUGAGUAACACGUGGGCAACCUGCCCCUGACUUCGGGAUAACGCUUCGAAAGAGGUGCUAAUACCGGAUAUGAGUCCCUCCGGCAUCUGAGGGACUGGAAAGUUUUUCGGUCAGGGAUGGGCCCGCGGCCUAUCAGCUUGUUGGUGAGGUAACGGUUCACCAAGGCGACGACGGGUAGCCGGCCUGAGAGGGCGACCGGCCACACUGGGACUGAGACACGGCCCAGACUCCUACGGGAGGCAGCAGUGGGGAAUAUUGCGCAAUGGGCGAAAGCCUGACGCAGCAACGCCGCGUGAGGGAUGACGGCCUCGGUUGUAACGUCUUCUAGCAGGAGAAGACGAAGUAGACGGUA